UACGUAGGGUGCGAGCGUUAAUCGGAAUUACUGGGCGUAAAGAGUGCGCAGGCGGCCGAGCAAGUCGAGUGUGAAAGCCCCGGGCUUAACUUGGGAAUUGCGCUCGAAACUACUUUGCUGGAGUGUGGCAGAGGAAGGUGGAAUUCCACGUGUAGCGGUGAAAUGCGUAGAGAUGUGGAGGAACACCAAUGGCGAAGGCAGCCUUCUGGGCCAACACUGACGCUCAUGCACGAAAGCGUGGGGAGCAAACAGG
rnacentral:rRNA from 1 species